rnacentral:rRNA from 1 species
GCAAGAUGAGAAAGUCGUAACAUAGUAGGUGUAUCGGAAGAUGCACCUGGAAGU